UACGAAGGGGGCUAGCGUUGCUCGGAAUCACUGGGCGUAAAGGGCGCGUAGGCGGCUAUUCAAGUCAGGGGUGAAAGCCUGUGGCUCAACCACAGAAUUGCCUUUGAUACUGUUUGGCUAGAGACCGGAAGAGGUAAGUGGAACUGCGAGUGUAGAGGUGAAAUUCGUAGAUAUUCGCAAGAACACCAGUGGCGAAGGCGGCUUACUGGUCCGGUUCUGACGCUGAGGCGCGAAAGCGUGGGGAGCAAACAGG
rnacentral:rRNA from 1 species